rnacentral:rRNA from 1 species
AUUGAACGCUGGCGGCAUGCCUUACACAUGCAAGUCGAACGGCAGCACGGGAGCAAUCCUGGUGGCGAGUGGCGAACGGGUGAGUAAUAUAUCGGAACGUGCCCAGUCGUGGGGGAUAACGUAGCGAAAGCUACGCUAAUACCGCAUACGAUCUAUGGAUGAAAGCGGGGGAUCGCAAGACCUCGCGCGAUUGGAGCGGCCGAUAUCAGAUUAGGUAGUUGGUGAGGUAAAGGCUCACCAAGCCGACGAUCUGUAGCUGGUCUGAGAGGACGACCCAGCCACACUGGGACUGAGACACGGCCCAGACUCCUACGGGAGGCAGCAGUGGGGAAUUUUGGACAAUGGGCGCAAGCCUGAUCCAGCAAUGCCGCGUGCAGGAUGAAGGCCUUCGGGUUGUAAACUGCUUUUGUACGGAACGAAACGGUGAGCUCUAAUACAGUUUGCUAAUGACGGUACCGUAAGAAUAAGCACCGGCUAACUACGUG